CUGUAGUCGUGUCCCUUUCUCUUGAGGUUACUAGUCCGUGUUUGAUUCGGUGUGGUUACUUUCUGCCGCUGCGUUACUUUACAGCUACAGUGUGUCAUGUUAUCUUCUGUGACUCUUUUUAGAGAGUAACCUUGCUUGAGUGCACCAAUGAAUGUGUUAGUGUUUUGAUCGUGAAGUCACAAUAGCAAGCACACGCAUGGCUCGUUUUAAAGCUAUGUGUAUCGUGGAAGCUAUUCUGCGGCAAGGAGACAGAAAACGAUGUGUUUCAGAGAGUUGUAGGGAUAUUCCAAGAGGAUUCCAGUUGUAUUGUUGAAAAUUCACUAUCUCCACAGGUUUCCUUGAAGGAGAAAUCUGAGAAGGUUUUGGAGUUGCUUGGACUAGGAGGUUCAGAAGGGAGCCGACAUACAACAGGGUCCGGCCCUAAUCCACCGCCACCGACUUCUCAACAAGCCGUGGUGUUGCCCGAUCAUAUGGAUGGUUGGGAUGCACCCGAAGGAGUUGAUGAUGAACAGGUGAAUCAGCUUUCUCUAGUUUUAUUCUGAAUACCUAUCUGAACCUAUCUGAAGGGAACUCUAUUUGAAUGCAGAGCAGUGGGAAGAUAUCUGACCAAGUAGAGAUUUUAAUCAAAGCUGGUGGUGGAUCCUUAGCAUCAGCUGCUUCUGAUGUCUUGUUAGGAGGUCUUGGUUGGAAGGGUACAGCGAAACCAUCGGUUGAGACCACUGCUAGAAGUACGGGAGCUGAAAGCUGCAGUGCAUCUCUUGGAAACAUUUUUUACAUAUUAAUAUGAUCAAUUCUCAAACAAUAUAGUGUGUGUGCAAGAGUGACAUCAAGAGUCACAACUCUUGGUUUAAGUUCACAAUUAAUGGGUAGUAUUCUAUACUAUAGAUUAGUAUACUAUACUAAAUAUCUCUCCUAAUACUCCCACCAAAACACUAGUUUUCAUUUGUGUAAUAAAUUUCAUCCAUAACAGAAGGUCAUCUGUUUUUGAACAGAUAUAUGUGAGAAAUUUAGAGUUUCAAUCUCUUUCUGAUGUGGCAAUGUUGGAGAGUUCUCUUGUAGUUCUCUCACUGCUUCUUCAAUUCUAUGAAGGUAUGUGAUGUCUUCUCUUGAUUUGGAUGUGUUUGUUGUUUUGUUUGUUGCAGUGCUGUGGUUGGCCCUCCAUACAAGUAUUGUUGCAGGCUUGGGUGGAAGAGCAAAGAAUACCACCGGUGAAGGCACGAAGGCAUGUGCCAUUGAGGAGGUUGGCCAUUGAUAGUUGCGGUGAGCUUGUGGAGAGGUGCAAAGGUACACAUCAUUGUAGAAGUUUGGCUGUAAACUUUGUAACAGGCUAGGUGGCAAUUCCGCCAGCAACAUGAGCGGUAGACUUUGCUAUGAACUCCGCAGUAAGACAGCAGCGGGCUCCUUAGUAGGCGCAACUACGAGUUCCUUAGUAGUUAUUGCGGUGACAAGCUUUACAGUAGGUGUGACUGCAAGUUGCGCAGCAAGGCGGCGGCAUGUACCAACCUAGAUUGUCUCCCACUCCAAUUGUGUAAUUUUUGAUUAUUUUAAAUAAACCAGUAAGGCUCAAAUAGUGGUAGAACAAUUAACUUC